ensembl:lncRNA
UGGAAACACACUGCGGCACGAAACAAACACCGAGACAUAAACAACGUGAGUCUUAGACAACGAAAGACAAGCAAACAGUGCAGACCAGGACUAUAUAUACACACGAGUGCUCAUUAACAAAACGUGAAUCAGGUGCAGGUGGUCAUGUGACAGCUAGUGCAGUGCAGUGGCUGAUGGGAAGUGGAGUCCAGAGUUUCUUGAUACAUGACAAUGCUGACAUUUUCUUUAAGAAUUGUUUAUAUAUUGCUACACUAUAUGAUUAUAAUCAUGAGAAUUGACGUGAGUCAGUCAGAAGUCAUAUGAGUCAGAUCAGGGAGUCAGGGGGACGCGGGGCCCUCGCAUGUCGUAGCCCUGCAAGUCACAUCCAUGUGAUCAGCCUACAAUAACAAAUCAAAAUCCCAGUUUUGAUCUUAAUCACACGAUGCACAGCAAAGAUACAUCAAUUCACAACUGACUCACGUCUUCAUAUCGCUUCAGAACAGACUGACAGUUCAGACAGCGUCAGCAUGUUGUGGAUUGGGCGUUGUAAAUAUUAGCUCGUUGUUUGAGCAGACAGUUUUAUUUAAACAUGAUUAUCUCUCUGUCUCUCCCUCUCUGUGCGUGUGUGUGUGGGUGUGUGUGUGCGCGCACGUGUGUAAUGAACACGGCCUGACGCUGAUGAACUCUAGUGUUGGUAAUGAGAACUACAUUAUACAAUGCAUUAUGUUCACACUGACCCUCUGCUGACCUUCAGCCUGACACGACCGGGUCACACUGCUAACGGCUAAUGGCUAAUCCAUCCAGAUGUAAUUACAGAUAGAACCGUGAAGAGUGCAGAUCUGAAGGCUUGCAGUUUAAAGUCAUACAAAAAGGCCCAAGACAGCAUUCAAUAUUAAAUGAUAUUGACAGAAGAAUCGACGGAUCAUUUUAUCCGUACAGCGCCGAACGUCAAAUAUACAUCAUAUCUCCUUGCCUUUGUUUCUCAGCCUCGGUCCUGGAGAAUCUCUUCUCCUGUACACUCAGCACACUUCCUUCAAAC